GUACGAUUUUGAUCGUAACUUCAUACCCGCUUUCACAAAACCAGCACGUAUGUCAUUGUUAAGGGAGUGGAGUUCACGUGUGAUGAAUCCCCGAUCUUCC